rnacentral:rRNA from 1 species
GAUUAACGCUGGCGGCGUGCAUAACACAUGCAAGUCGAACGAUGAAACUUUAAUGAACCCUUCGGGGAGAAUUAAAGCGGAUUAGUGGCGAACGGGUGAGUAACGCGUGAGUAACCUGCCUUACACAAGGGGAUAGCCCUUGGAAACGAAGAAUAAUACCCUAUAAAACCAUAAAAGCACAUGCAAUUAUGGUCAAAGUGAUAGCGGUGUAAGAUGGACUUGCGUCUGAUUAGCUAGUUGGUGAGAUAAAAGCCCACCAAGGCAACGAUCAGUAGCCGGCUUGAGAGAGUGUACGGCCACAUUGGGACUGAGACACGGCCCAGACUCCUACGGGAGGCAGCAGUGGGGAAUUUUGCACAAUGGGGGAAACCCUGAUGCAGCGACGCCGCGUGAUUUAGAAGGCCUUCGGGUUGUAAAAAUCUUUUGUAUAGGAAGAAAAUGACAGUACUAUACGAAUAAGGUCCGGCUAAUUACGUG